GGAAAUGAGGCUUAGUGAUAGAGUGUUUGCCUAAUAUGCAUAAAGUCCUGGGUUCAAUUCCUCAGUACCA
rnacentral:tRNA from 1 species